rnacentral:tRNA from 1 species
UGGCUUAGUGGUUAGGGUAUUCGACUUGCGAUCGAAAGGUCGUGAGUUCAAUUUCCGGCGACUCAU